rnacentral:rRNA from 1 species
GCCGGCGAGCGGCGGACGGGUGAGUAAUGCCUAGGGAUCUGCCCAGUCGUGGGGGAUAACAGUUGNAAACGACUGCUAAUACCGCAUACGCCCUACGGGGGAAAGGAGGGGACCUUCGGGCCUUUCGCGAUUGGAUGAACCUAGGUGGGAUUAGCUAGUUGGUGAGGUAAUGGCUCACCAAGGCGACAAUCCCUAGCUGGUCUGAGAGGAUGAUCAGCCACACUGGAACUGAGACACGGUCCAGACUCCUACGGGAGGCAGCAGUGGGGAAUAUUGCACAAUGGGCGAAAGCCUGAUGCAGCCAUGCCGCGUGUUGUGAAGAAGGNCUUCGGGUUGUAAAGCACUUUCAGUAGGGAGGAAAGGUAGUGGUUUAAUACACCAUUGCUGUGACGUUACCUACAGAAGAAGGACCGGCUAACUCCGUGCCAGCAGCCGCGGUAAUACGGAGGGUCCGAGCGUUAAUCGGAAUUACUGGGCGUAAAGCGUGCGCAGGCGGUUUGUUAAGCGAGAUGUGAAAGCCCCGGGCUCAACCUGGGAAUUGCAUUUCGAACUGGCAAACUAGAGUCUUGUAGAGGGGGGUAGAAUUCCAGGUGUAGCGGUGAAAUGCGUAGAGAUCUGGAGGAAUA